rnacentral:lncRNA from 1 species
GACAAGUUCACUUUAAAAGCACCAUGCUCUAGCACAGCUACAGGGGAGAGAUGUUCUCUCCUCCUGUCUAUAUUUGGAAAAUGGAUGCAAUACAAUUCCUGGAGUCCUGAGGAGACUUCAGAUGGACAGUGACCACGUUGCCUUUGAUCUUCCACUUCUAGGUUCUCCACAGUGACCUGGCAGUACCAGUGUGGGCUCACCUGUGAGGAUAAGACCGACCUUCUCCCUCUCAGUGCAUCAGUUCAGUUCAUUAAAAUUCCUGCACAGAUGCCGCAUCCCCCAACAAGAUUCCAGAUCAAUUUCACAGAGUACAACUGUGACAGGAAUGAGGUGUGUUGGCCCCAACUUCUGUACCCUCUGAGCCAGUAUUACCAAGGGGAGCCCCGUUCCCAGUGUGUUGCCAAGGGGCUGAUGUUGGUGUCAUUCCUUGUGCUGGCCGUGCUCCUCAGUCAUCCCUGGACCAGAAUAUGCAAAACCUGGUGCUGAGCUCCCAUCUACCACUGAGUCUUCUUAAAGACUCAGACCCUCCCCUCAGUGCUUUCCUGUAGUCCUGCAUGCCUCUCUGAAACUUUUUUUUUUUUGUCUCUUUGAGACAGGGUCUCCAUGUAGCCCCAGCUGUCCUGGAACUCACUAUGUUGACUAGACUGGCAUCUAACUCACAGAUAUUCACCUGCCUCUGCCUCCCAAGUGCAGGGAUCAAAGGCAUGUGCUACCACGCCUGACUCCUCUGAAACAUUUUAAUAAAUGAAAUCUUAUUUUUAUAGUUCUUAUUAAGUGUGUGUGAAUUUAAGCCAUUUAUCUAG